rnacentral:rRNA from 1 species
UACGCAGGGGGCUAGCGUUGUUCGGAAUUACUGGGCGUAAAGCGCGCGCAGGCGGUCUUCCAAGUCAGUGGUGAAAGCCCGGAGCUCAACUCCGGAACUGCCAUUGAAACUGUGAGACUAGAGUACGGGAGAGGUGAGUGGAAUUCCCAGUGUAGAGGUGAAAUGCGUAGAGAUGGGGAAGAACACCGGUGGCGAAGGCGGCUCACUGGCUCGUAACUGACGCUGAGGCGCGACAGCGUGGGGAGCAAACAGG